rnacentral:rRNA from 1 species
GCGAAUGAUUAGAGGCAUUGGGGCCGAAACGACCUCAACCUAUUCUCAAACUUUAAAUGGGUGAGUACUCCGGCUUACUCGGACGAUGAAGCCGGAGAUCUGAUGACGGUGCCAAGUGGGCCAAUUUUGGUAAGCAGAACUGGCGAUGCGGGAUGAACCGAACGCGAGGUUAAGGUGCCAGAGUAGACGCUCAUCAGACACCACAAAAGGUGUUAGUACAUCUUGACAGCAGGACGGUGGCCAUGGAAGUCGGAAUCCGCUAAGGACUGUGUAACAACUCACCUGCCGAAUGUACUAGCCCUGAAAAUGGAUGGCGCUCAAGCGUCUCACCCAUACCUCGCCCUCAGGGUAGAAACGAUGCCCUGAGGAGUAGGCGGACGUGGAGGUCAGUGACGAAGCCUAGGGCGUGAGCCCGGGUUGAACGGCCUCUAGUGCAGAUCUUGGUGGUAGUAGCAAAUACUUCAAUGAGAACUUGAAGGACCGAAGUGGGGAAAGGUUCCAUGUGAACAGCGGUUGGACAUGGGUUAGUCGAUCCUAAGCCAUAGGGAAGCUCCGUUUCAAAGGUGCACUUUGCACCGUCUGGCGAAAGGGAAGCCGGUCAAUAUUCCGGCACCUGGAUGUGGGUUUUGCGCGGC